AAGAAAAGUGGCAUUAAACCCAACUCUGGCAAGGAGAAAAAUCAAAUGGAAAAUACGCAUUUUUAAUAUGCCACUGGGGCAUCCCAGGCCUCCUCGCUGUGCUCUGGGAUCCACCACAUGGCAAAGGCUUCUGCAGAGACUCCUCCAGAAAUCAAACCAUUCCAAGUGAGGGGGGUGACGUGGCUUCUGGCCCCGGGCGAGGCGUUACCUCCCCAUCUUUCCUCGGCCGAGCCGUCCGUGGGGUACCGCUCGGCUGUAGGUCAGCAGGGUGGGGGAAUCACGUAUAUUUUGUGCCCUUGGAGGAAUGCUUGUUUGUAGCUGGGCACCCAUUGCCUGCCACCCCUGGACAAAGCAUCCCACAUUCACAUGGAACAUUUGACUUCAGUGGCAGUGGAAUCUGGGCCCUGGAGAGGACUUCAGUACCCUGUAUCUGCAGGACUGUUGUUAAAUACUCAACUCUUGCCUGGAUUUUACUGCUCUGUGCAAUGCAGGCAUCCAGAAAUGAGUGGUGCUGAUGCUGUGGGUUGAGCUCAGGUCCUGUAGCCUUUCCCAUCUCCAUGUCAGAGGAGUUGUACUGCUCUGUCUCAGCCUGCCACCCACCCUCCAGCCUGGGUGCAAGGCAGAGCCUCUCCUUGUCCCCCAUUAAAACCAACCCUGACCUCAGUAAAAUCAAAUGCCAGUGCUGUGGGGUGGUCAGGGCAGCUUUGUCCUUGUCCUCAGGGACAGAUUCAUUUUCUCCCUCGCAAUACCUUGGCUUUUCUUUUUCUUAAAGGAUUGAGAACCCAAGCUGGCUCACCUUGCUUCUGAAGGAGCAAGGAGCUGAGGAAGGGCCCUGGGUGAGAAACCGAUGGCUGCAGCCGCGCUAGUUGCCUGGAAAGAGGUGAGGAGAGAAGACGGGUCGUGCCCGGAGGUGAUGUCUCCUCAUGGCAGCCCUGGCACAGCAGGCAGCGAGCCUGGGGAGCCCAAACCAUGCCUGCACCGUGGUGCCCUGGCACCCAGCUGAGCGGCCACCGCCCCCCCCGGCUUCUCUGAGGGUGUAAAAAAAGAGGUGGCCUUAAGGCUGUGGCAUGAAAAAUCCCUGGUACUUCACAAACCGUGCGUGUUAUGUUGUUUUUCUAGGUUAGCUAAAUUUCCCCCCUCCGUUUCAGAUGGAAGUGAAACUCUUACUUGCUGCUGAAACUGAGAGGGGGGGAGAGGCGGGGGGAUAAUUUUGCAUGGCAGCGUUCUCGAACGGGUUACUCGAUCAAGAAGUAACUGCAACUCACAGGUUUCCAGUUGCUCCCCUAACCGCCCUCUGGCCUGUACCACGAAAGAAAUAAACACAUUCAACUUUUUUUUUUUUUUUUUUUC
rnacentral:lncRNA from 1 species